AGAGUUUGAUCCUGGCUCAGGAUGAACGCUAGCGGCAGGCUUAACACAUGCAAGUCGAGGGGCAGCAUAAUGGAUAGCAAUAUCUAUGGUGGCGACCGGCGCACGGGUGCGUAACGCGUAUGCAACCUACCUUUAACAGGGGGAUAACACUGAGAAAUUGGUACUAAUACCCCAUAAUAUCAUAGAAGGCAUCUUUUAUGGUUGAAAAUUCCGAUGGUUAGAGAUGGGCAUGCGUUGUAUUAGCUAGUUGGUGGGGUAACGGCUCACCAAGGCGACGAUACAUAGGGGGACUGAGAGGUUAACCCCCCACAUUGGUACUGAGACACGGACCAAACUCCUACGGGAGGCAGCAGUGAGGAAUAUUGGUCAAUGGACGCAAGUCUGAACCAGCCAUGCCGCGUGCAGGAUGACGGCUCUAUGAGUUGUAAACUGCUUUUGUACGAGGGUAAACGCAGAUACGUGUAUCUGUCUGAAAGUAUCGUACGAAUAAGGAUCGGCUAACUCCGUGCCAGCAGCCGCGGUAAUACGGAGGAUUCAAGCGUUAUCCGGAUUUAUUGGGUUUAAAGGGUGCGUAGGCGGUUUGAUAAGUUAGAGGUGAAAUACCGGGGCUCAACUCCGGAACUGCCUCUAAUACUGUUGAACUAGAGAGUAGUUGCGGUAGGCGGAAUGUAUGGUGUAGCGGUGAAAUGCUUAGAGAUCAUACAGAACACCGAUUGCGAAGGCAGCUUACCAAACUAUAUCUGACGUUGAGGCACGAAAGCGUGGGGAGCAAACAGGAUUAGAUACCCUGGUAGUCCACGCAGUAAACGAUGAUAACUCGUUGUCGGCGAUACACAGUCGGUGACUAAGCGAAAGCGAUAAGUUAUCCACCUGGGGAGUACGUUCGCAAGAAUGAAACUCAAAGGAAUUGACGGGGGCCCGCACAAGCGGAGGAACAUGUG
rnacentral:rRNA from 1 species